rnacentral:rRNA from 1 species
AUGAUGUGUUGGAUCUGUCGCCCACCAUUCCAACCUCAACUCUGGUGGGGUUUGCAUUGUUGGAAUGUCGUUUCACCGUGCAAGCCUCUGGUUACUUUUCCGUUAGGUGCCUGUGGUGUCCAGUUGGCAAAUGGCAAUUGGACCCAAGAGGAUAGGACAUAUACGGCGCUGGGAUACCCAGAGAAUUUGCUCACCUUCACUUCAGUUGGUUCCCCUGCUCUCACUUGCUGCAUCUCCCCCGGAGCUCGGGUCAGGUCUACAAUGGCAAUGAUCAGCCCUGCCGCCGCCACCGUCGUCGCCGCCAGGCCGGCCCAAGCUCUAGGGCUCCCUCAGCUGAGGGUGACCAGGGCUGAGAAGCUGAGGUGCGCCUACUCCAAGGACGGCAAGGAGGAGGCGGCUGCGGCGACUCCGGCGGUCGUGAAAGGCGUGCCGCUGCUGGCCGCGGCGAGCGCAGCCAUGACGGCGGCGUCCCCGGCGCUGGCGCUGGUGGACGAGCGGAUGUCGACGGAGGGCACGGGGCUGAGCCUGGGGCUGAGCAACAACCUGCUGGGGUGGAUCCUGCUGGGCGUGUUCGGCCUCAUCUGGUCCCUCUACACCGUCUACUCCUCCACCCUCGACGACGACGACGAGUCCGGCGGCCUCUCCCUCUGA